AACGAACGCUGGCGGCAUGCCUAACACAUGCAAGUCGAACGAGACCUUCGGGUCUAGUGGCGCACGGGUGCGUAACGCGUGGGAACCUGCCCUUAGGUUCGGAAUAACUCCCCGAAAGGGGUGCUAAUACCGGAUAAUGUCUUCGGACCAAAGAUUUAUCGCCUUUGGAUGGGCCCGCGUUGGAUUAGCUAGUUGGUAGGGUAAAAGCCUACCAAGGCGACGAUCCAUAGCUGGUCUGAGAGGAUGAUCAGCCACACUGGGACUGAGACACGGCCCAGACUCCUACGGGAGGCAGCAGUGGGGAAUAUUGGACGAUGGGCGGAAGCCUGAUCCAGCAAUGCCGCGUGAGUGAUGAAGGCCUUAGGGUUGUAAAGCUCUUUUACCCGGGAUGAUAAUGACAGUACCGGGAGAAUAAGCUCCGGCUAACUCCGUG
rnacentral:rRNA from 1 species